rnacentral:misc_RNA from 1 species
GAUGAAGAACGUAGCGAAAUGCGAUAAGUAGUGUGAAUUGCAGAAUUCAGUGAAUCAUCGAAUCUUUGAACGCACAUUGCGCCCUUUGGUAUUCCUUAGGGCAUGCCUGUUCGAGCGUCAUUUAAACCUUCAAGCUAAGCUUGGUGUUGGGUGACUGUCCGCUUCACGGCGGACUCGCCUCAAAAUUAUUGGCGGCCGGUACAUUGGCUUCGAGCGCAGCAGAAAUGCGAACUCGGGCCCGUCGUAUUGGCUCCCAGAAGCUAUCUUCACAAUUUUGACCUCGGAUCAGGUAGGGAUACCCGCUGAACUUAAGCAUAUCAAUAAGCGGAGGA